GACGAACGCUGGCGGCGUGCCUAAUACAUGCAAGUCGAACGCAGUGGGGACGGUUGAGUAACACGUGGGUAACCUCCCAUCAGAGGGGAUAACACUUGGCAACAGGUGCUAAACCGAUACUGAUUGAUGGACCCGCGGGGCAUUAGCUAGUUGGUGAGGUAACGGCUCACCAAGGCCACGAUGCAUAGCCGACCUGAGAGGGUGAUCGGCCACACUGGGACUGAGACACGGCCCAGACUCCGACGGGAGGCAGCAGUAGGGAAUAUUGGGCAAUGGGCGAAAGGCUGACGGAGCAAUGCAGCGUGAGUGAAGAAGGUUUUCGGAUCGUAAAGCUCUGUAGUUAGAGAAGCGGUAGCUAAAGAGAAAGCAACGGCUAACUACGUGCCAGCAGCCGCGGUAAUAC
rnacentral:rRNA from 1 species